GACGGAGGAUGCAAGCGUUAUCCGGAAUUAUUGGGCGUAAAGCGUCCGCAGGUGGCAGUUCAAGUCUGCUGUCAAAGACCGGGGCUUAACUUCGGAAAGGCAGUGGAAACUGAACAGCUAGAGUAUGGUAGGGGCAGAGGGAAUUCCUGGUGUAGCGGUGAAAUGCGUAGAGAUCCGGAGGAAGACCGGUGGCGAAGGCGGUCUGCUGGGCAGUUUCUGACACUGAUGCGCGACAGCGUGGGGAGCAAACAGG
rnacentral:rRNA from 1 species